rnacentral:tRNA from 1 species
GCCUGGGUGGCUCAGUCGGUUAAGCGUCUGACUUCAGCUCAGGUCAUAAUCUCACAGUUUGUGGGUUCAGGCCCCACAUUGGGCU